rnacentral:rRNA from 1 species
UACGUAGGGGGGCGAGCGUUGUCCGGAUUUAUUGGGCGUAAAGAGCGUGUAGGCGGCCAGGUAGGUCUGCUGUGAAAACUCGAGGCUCAACCUCGAGACGUCGGCGGAAACCAUCUGGCUAGAGUCCGGAAGAGGAGAGUGGAAUUCCUGGUGUAGCGGUGAAAUGCGCAGAUAUCAGGAAGAACACCCGUGGCGAAGGCGCUCUGCUGGACCAUAACUGACACUCAGG